CAGUCGCCACGGUAAUACGGAGGGAGCUAGCGUUGUUCGGAAUUACUGGGCGUAAAGCGCACGUAGGCGGCUUUGUAAGUUAGAGGUGAAAGCCUGGAGCUCAACUCCAGAAUUGCCUUUAAGACUGCAUCGCUUGAAUCCGAGAGAGGUGAGUGGAAUUCCGAGUGUAGAGGUGAAAUUCGUAGAUAUUCGGAAGAACACCAGUGGCGAAGGCGGCUCACUGGCUCGGUAUUGACGCUGAGGUGCGAAAGCGUGGGGAGCAAACAGGAUUAGAUACCCCGGUAGUCCCUGUCUCUUAUAC
rnacentral:rRNA from 1 species